UACGUAGGGACCAAGCGUUGUUCGGAUUUACUGGGCGUAAAGGGCGCGUAGGCGGCUUAACAAGUCACUUGUGAAAUCUCCGGGCUUAACUCGGAACGGUCAAGUGAUACUGUCGGACUAGAGUACUGAGGAGGCAACUGGAAUUCUCGGUGUAGCGGUGAAAUGCGUAGAUAUCGAGAGGAACACCUGCGGCGAAGGCGGGUUGCUGGGCUGAUACUGACGCUGAGGCGCGAAAGCCAGGGGAGCGAACGGG
rnacentral:rRNA from 1 species